rnacentral:rRNA from 1 species
AACGAACGCUGGCGGCAGGCUUAACACAUGCAAGUCGAGCGCCCCGCAAGGGGAGCGGCAGACGGGUGAGUAACGCGUGGGAAUCUACCCAUCUCUACGGAAUAACGCAUGGAAACGUGUGCUAAUACCGUAUACGUCCUUCGGGAGAAAGAUUUAUCGGAGGUGGAUGAGCCCGCGUUGGAUUAGCUAGUUGGUGGGGUAAAGGCCUACCAAGGCGACGAUCCAUAGCUGGUCUGAGAGGAUGAUCAGCCACACUGGGACUGAGACACGGUCCAAACUCCUACGGGAGGCAGCAGUGAGGAAUAUUGCACAAUGGGCGAAAGCCUGAUGCAGCAACGCCGCGUGAGCGAAGAAGGCCUUUGGGUCGUAAAGCUCUGUCCUUGGGGAAGAAACAAAUGACGGUACCCUUGGAGGAAGCCCCGGCUAACUACGUGCCAGCCGCCGCUGUAACAC